GUGCUCGCUUCAGUAGCACAUAUACUAAAAUUGGAACAAUAAAGAGAUUAGCAUGGCCCCUGCACAGGAAUGACACGUAAAUUUGUGAAGUGUUCCAUAUUAAA
ensembl:snRNA U6 U6 spliceosomal RNA